rnacentral:rRNA from 1 species
UACGGAGGGUGCAAGCGUUGCUCGGAAUCAUUGGGCGUAAAGCGUACGCAGGCUGUUCGUUAAGUCGGGUGUGAAAGCCCGGGGCUCAACCCCGGAAAUGCGCCCGAAACUGGCGAGCUUGAGUGCGGGAGAGGGAAGCGGAAUUCCUGGUGUAGAGGUGAAAUUCGUAGAUAUCAGGAGGAACACCGGUGGCGAAGGCGGGUCUCUGGGCCGAUACUGACGCUGAGGAGCGAAAGCGUGGGGAGCGAACAGG